rnacentral:lncRNA from 1 species
AUUUUCCUUGCUCUUGAUUCUACUUUGAAAUUAAUAUAGCCACUCCAGCCUUAUAACUUAUUAUCAUUAUAAAUAACACUGUUCAGCCUUUGCACUCAUCCACAUUUAUUAGAAUUUCUUGGUUAGAGGUCUGUAUGUUUUUAAAGGCUUUUGACUGUAUUGUCAAAUUGCCCUGCAUAAAUUUACAAACUUUUACUGCCUCAGCACUUGGGCAUUAUCAUUUAAAAUAAUUAUAAAUGAAAUACAGGGUUUUCCCAAUUCGAGAGACAGAAGUGUUAUCUCAUAGAUCAGUGGAGGUGCAGGUAGUCAUAGUUGGUACACAUCUAAAUGAAUAAAAUUUUCAUCUAUACUAGCAAAAAGUCGAGGUCUAAAAUUCAUGAAUGAAGAAGUAGGGAGAUAUAUAUAUUGAUAUAUAUGUCGAUAUAUGUAUCUAUCUCGACAGUCGGCAGUAAAUGCCAAAUGCAGCAGCCAUAAGACUUGGGAAUAUUGCCCUUAAGGAGCAGGUCGAUCCUGGUGGGAUAGAGUGGGGCUGAGGGAUUGGAGCAGAGGAAUGGUACUUUUGUACGUAAGUCCCCCGUAGUAUUAUAUGUUUUUUAAAAGCAUGUGAAAAUAUUAAUUACUUUGAUUUGAUAAAUGACAUCUUCUUGUUGGUUUAACUUGCAUUUAAGUUUAUUAUCAGGCCUCCCAUAAUUGUAUAAACUUUACACCAAGCAAAACCGCCUCUCGUCGGGCAAACUACAACUCCCAGGAUUCCGCGGGUUGAAGGAGCGGGCUGUCACCGGACGCAAACUGCAAUUCCCAGAAUUCCGCGAGCCAAGGAGGUGGGUCUGGCCUCGGGCUCAGGAAGCUGAACUCGAGAGCCUGCGCACGUGCACAGGUGACGCGCGGACUUGCCAGCUGGGCGGGCGCACGGAGGCCACCUGCGAGCCCCGCGGCGGCUGACCAGACGGCGCGGCGGAGCCUGCACUCCCUGUCUGGACCUCCACGGCUCAGAGCGGGCGGCGGGGGCGGGUUCGGCCAAAGCCAGCUCCUCGGAGGGCCGGCCUGGAAGCUUCAGCCUCGCGGAGCCCGGCUGCGGGGUGCAGGGCUGCUCUGAGGGUCAGUGCAACCAGCUAGACCUCUGGCUUCAUCCUGCACCACCCAUGAACCCCAAACAUGACUCAAAAAGGACAUGAUGCCACCCGGAGCAAGCCUGCUGAUUCUCAGGUGGGAGAGACGUUAGGGGCCCCUACCUCAAGAACUUGCCUGUCCCAGGUGAGGGCCCCCCACCAGACUCAGCAUCCCCUGCUCUGCUUUAAUCCUCCCUGAAAGUGGCCUUGUGUGUGCAGGGGGGUACUUUGAAAAAUACUUACCUUUAAGUUUUGCUUUUACAACAGCAAAGAAAGUAAAAGUCACUGUGGAGCCCACAUUCUAGAAAUAAACUUCCUAAUUCUGGGGUGUAUUUUAUUCCGGUGUUUAUUAUCAUAAAUAUUUUUACAUAGCUGAGAAAUCACUAUACUUUUUUUUCAUCUUUC